rnacentral:rRNA from 1 species
AUUGAACGCUGGCGGCAUGCCUUACACAUGCAAGUCGAACGGCAGCACGGGAGCAAUCCUGGUGGCGAGUGGCGAACGGGUGAGUAAAGCAUCGGAACGUGCCCAGUCGUGGGGGAUAACGUAGCGAAAGCUACGCUAAUACCGCAUACGAUCUGUGGAUGAAAGCGGGGGACCGUAAGGCCUCGCGCGAUUGGAGCGGCCGAUGUCAGAUUAGGUAGUUGGUGAGGUAAAGGCUCACCAAGCCGACGAUCUGUAGCUGGUCUGAGAGGACGACCAGCCACACUGGGACGGAGACACGGCCCAGACUCCUACGGGAGGCAGCAGUGGGGAAUUUUGGACAAUGGGCGCAAGCCUGAUCCAGCAAUGCUGCGUGCAGGAUGAAGGCCUUCGGGUUGUAAACUGCUUUUGUACGGAGCGAAACGGCUUCCACUAAUACUGGGGGCUAAUGACGGUACCGUAAGAAUAAGCACCGGCUAACUACGUGCCAGCCGCCGCAGUAACAC